GCAGAGAUGUAGCAGCGUAGGGGUCUGUUUUUCAUCAGAAAAAGGUGAUGGGAAAGACAUAAAGCAAGAGACCGCCGGGUAUUAUUGUGUUCCAGCGGCUCAUAGCGGUUCUUUGAUGAGACGAAAUAGUGAAGGGGAAUGGGGAAGAGGAACGCCUGGGGAAGGAGGAGAAGUUGUGAAGCCAUAGGAGAGCUGAUUGAUGGACGGUGUACAGGGUCGAAGAGAUGAUCCAUCGGAAAUUGCCAUUUUUCGAUGGUCCAAAG
rnacentral:misc_RNA from 1 species